AUUCAAAGAGUGCGUAAUAGCUCACUAGUCGAGUGACCCUGCGCCGAAAAUGUAACGGGGCUAAACAGAUUACCGAAGCUGUGGAUUGGACCUUAUGGUCCAGUGGUAGGAGAGCGUUCUAAGGGCUGUGAAGCAUGACCGUAAGGACAUGUGGAGCGCUUAGAAGUGAGAAUGCCGGUAUGAGUAGCGAAAGACGGGUGAGAAUCCCGUCCACCGAAUAACUAAGGUUUCCUGGGGAAGGCUCGUCCUCCCAGGGUUAGUCGGGACCUAAGGCGAGGCCGAUAGGCGUAGUCGAUGGACAACAGGUUGAUAUUCCUGUACUUCUAUAAAUCGUUUGAGCAAUGGAGGGACGCAGGAGGCUAAGAAAAGCGUACGACUGGAAGUGUACGCCCAAGCAGUGAGUCGGCUGAUGAGUCAAAUGCUUAUCACGGAUGCGACAAGCUGUGACGGGGAGGGAAGUUUAGUACCGAAGUUUCUGAUGUCACACUGCCGAGAAAAGCUUCUAGCAAGAUUUAUAGGACCCGUACCGCAAACCGACACAGGUAGUUGAGGAGAGAAUCCUAAGGUGAGCGAGCGAACUCUCGUUAAGGAACUCGGCAAAAUGACCCCGUAACUUCGGGAGAAGGGGUGCUGGUAGCAAUACCAGCCGCAGUGAAUAGGCCCAGGCGACUGUUUAUCAAAAACACAGGUCUCUGCAAAAUCGAAAGAUGACGUAUAGGGGCUGACGCCUGCCCGGUGCUGGAAGGUUAAGAGGAGAGGUUAGCGCAAGCGAAGCUUUGAAUUGAAGCCCCAGUAAACGGCGGCCGUAACUAUAACGGUCCUAAGGUAGCGAAAUUCCUUGUCGGGUAAGUUCCGACCCGCACGAAAGGCGUAAUGAUUUGGGCACUGUCUCAACGAGAGACUCGGUGAAAUUUUAGUACCUGUGAAGAUGCAGGUUACCCGCGACAGGACGGAAAGACCCCAUGGAGCUUUACUGUAGUUUGAUAUUGAGUGUUUGUGUCACAUGUACAGGAUAGGUAGGAGCUGAAGAAUCCGGGACGCCAGUUUCGGAGGAGGCAACGGUGGGAUACUACCCUUGUGACAUGACCACUCUAACCCGCACCCCUUACCGGGGUGGGAGACAGUGUCAGACGGGCAGUUUGACUGGGGCGGUCGCCUCCUAAAGUGUAACGGAGGCGCCCAAAGGUUCCCUCAGAAUGGUUGGAAAUCAUUCGUAGAGUGUAAAGGCAGAAGGGAGCUUGACUGCGAGACCUACAAGUCGAGCAGGGACGAAAGUCGGGCUUAGUGAUCCGGUGGUUCCGUAUGGAAGGGC
rnacentral:rRNA from 1 species